GUAAUGGCACUGCUCACUGCAACCUUUGCUCACUGCAACCUCCACCUCCUCAGUUCAAGCAAUUCUCCUGCCUCAGCUUCCUGAGUAGCUGAGAUUACAGGUGCCUUUCACCAUGCCUGGCUAAUCUUUUGUAAGGAUCUGGGGGAAGCCAGUUGUGCUUCUUAAGGCCUCCCUGUUGAGAGACUCAUGCCAGUGAACUUGGAAGCAGAUCUCCUAAAGCCUCUCAACAGCUACAGAAAUUAACUUGAAAGGAGAUCCUCUAACCAGCUGAGGCUUGAGAUGACUGCAGCCCUGGCCAGGACCUCAGUCGCAGGCUGUGAGAGUCCUGGAGCCAAAAUCACCCAGAGAAGCUACUCCUGGAUUCCCAACACAGACCAUUG
rnacentral:lncRNA from 1 species